rnacentral:rRNA from 1 species
AUUGAACGCUGGCGGCAGGCUUAACACAUGCAAGUCGAGCGAGCGGCGGACGGGUGAGUAAUGUCUGGGAAACUGCCUGAUGGAGGGGGAUAACUACUGGAAACGGUAGCUAAUACCGCAUACCAUCAGAUGUGCCCAGAUGGGAUUAGCUAGUAGGUGGGGUAAUGGCUCACCUAGGCGACGAUCCCUAGCUGGUCUGAGAGGAUGACCAGCCACACUGGAACUGAGAAACGGUCCAGCAUCCUACGGAAGGCGGCAGGGGGGAAUAUUGCACAAUGGGCGAAGGCCUGAUGCAGCCAUGCCGCGUGUGUGAGUAAGGCCUUCGGGUUGUAAAGCACUUUCAGCGAGGAGGCGUUACUCGCAGAGGAAGAACCGGCUAACUCCGUGCCAGCAGCCGCGGUAAUAC